rnacentral:ncRNA from 1 species
UAUUCUCAGGGCGGGGUGAAAUUCCCCACCGGCGGUAAAUCAGCGAUGUUCAUCAUUUUUCGCGUUGCAGUUUAUCCUGCAGCGGCGUGAAAGUUGAAGUACCGGCUGAAAGCCCGCGAGCGCUUCAGAUGCGAAUCUGAAGGUCAGCAGAUCCGGUGUAAUUCCGGGGCCGACGGUUAAAGUCCGGAUGGGAGAGAGU